GAUGAACGCUAGCUACAGGCUUAACACAUGCAAGUCGAGGGGCAGCGGGAUUGAAGCUUGCUUCAAUUGCCGGCGACCGGCGCACGGGUGAGUAACGCGUAUCCAACCUUCCGUACACUCAGGGAUAGCCUUUCGAAAGAAAGAUUAAUACCUGAUGGUAUGAUGAGAUUGCAUGAUAUCAUCAUUAAAGAUUUAUCGGUGUACGAUGGGGAUGCGUUCCAUUAGGUAGUAGGCGGGGUAACGGCCCACCUAGCCAACGAUGGAUAGGGGUUCUGAGAGGAAGGUCCCCCACAUUGGAACUGAGACACGGUCCAAACUCCUACGGGAGGCAGCAGUGAGGAAUAUGGGUCAAUGGACGAGAGUCUGAACCAGCCAAGUAGCGUGAAGGAGGAAGGUACUACGGAUGGUAAACUUCUUUUAUAAGGGAAUAAACCCUCCCACGUGUGGGAGCUUGUAUGUACCUUAUGAAUAAGCAUCGGCAAACUCCGUG
rnacentral:rRNA from 1 species